AGCCUACCUGCUCUCCCCUGAGAGUGUAUUAUCGAUCCUUUAAUAAGUCCUCACUUUACCUUUUUAGCCUCUAAGUCUUGUCUCUGAAUUUUUUCUGGGACGGGACAAGAACCCGGUACACCGGUUGCAUCUAUCGGCGACAUCUUUGGCGAGCCAGCCAGGAGAUUGCAGAUCUGUUUCGGGGAGAAGGGAGUCCUUAGUGCACUCAAGGGAAUGGGGCUCCCUCUGCAUUCAUAUAAAUCCUCUCAUUUGAUUGGAAAAGAUCAGAGAAGCAGACUGCAGUGUGUCCAGAAUGUCCUGCCUGGAGCUAAGUGAAGAGCCAACAGAAAGGGAGAGUUCGCGCCUACGCCUACGACCCGUGACCACCAGGUGGCGUCUGACGGCCCCCGAGC